UCCCCUAUAAUAUGGACUAGCCACAUGCACGACAGCAUGUAUAUAAGGUCAUUUCUAGGCACCCAAAGACACAAACCAAGAGAAAUAUACAAAUUCCCAAUAUAAUAAGACAAAAACAAUAACGAUUGAAUGCAAAUUAAAGCAGUAAAAAAUUCAGGAGUAUACUACAAAUUCAGAGUUCCAAAAAUUCGCGCUUUCAUUUUUCUAUUAUCUUAGAAAUUAAAGAUUUAGAGUCUUGGGGCUCUACCCAUU
rnacentral:lncRNA from 1 species